GAUUCUGGCUCAGAAUCAACGCUGGCGGCGUGCCUAACACAUGCAAGUCGGACGCGAAAGCGGCUUCGGCCGCAAGUAGAGUGGCAAACGGGUGAGUAACACGUGGGUGACCUGCCUUCGAGUGGGGGAUAACGUCUCGAAAGGGACGCUAAUACCGCAUAACAUCCUGCCUUUGGACAGGCGGAGAUCAAAGCCGGGGACCGCAAGGCCUGGCGCUUGGAGAGGGGCCCGCGCCGGAUUAGCUAGUUGGUGAGGUAACGGCCCACCAAGGCGACGAUCCGUAGCCGGCCUGAGAGGGCGGACGGCCACACUGGGACUGAGACACGGCCCAGACUCCUACGGGAGGCAGCAGUGGGGAAUUGUUCGCAAUGGGCGCAAGCCUGACGACGCAACGCCGCCGUGGAGGACGAAGAUCUUCGGAUCGUAAACUCCUGUCGAGCGGGACGAAUGGCCCGGGAUUUAACACGUCUCGGGAGUGACGGUACCGCUAAAGGAAGCCCCGGCUAACUCCGUGCCAGCAGCCGC
rnacentral:rRNA from 1 species